AGACAGAAAACAGAAAAAAAAAAAAAAAAAACGCACGCUCUUCUACACUAAACAACAACAACAUAAAGCUGCGUGCAUCACCAGAACCGGAAAUGUAAAUCGCGCAGGAUAAAAGCAAAGCAAACAAAAUCAAACAGAUGUGGGUGAACCUACCGAUCUGCUGGAAUCUCUCCGUUUGGAGCUGCGGCUCAACAUGACGCGCUGAUCCCAGAACAGCACAGAUCUAUUCAACUGUGACAGGCAGAGCGUCACCAGAGGACGGCGUACAUUUUCCACAGUACCCUCCGCAGAUCCCUGUCACUCUGCUGCCAUCCUGUGGACACAGAAAUAAUGACAUGAGCUGACGCUUCAGUAAUUUUUCAAAACAAAUCAGUGAGAUGAAACUGAUUAAUUUAUUUCAAUCAUUUUAUUAAAAAGAGACAAAAAUAUAUUAUGUUGAU